rnacentral:lncRNA from 1 species
AUAUAUAUAUAUAUAUAUAUAUAUAUAUAUAUAUAUAUAUAUAUAUAUAACUAGGCUGGAAUACUAUCAAUAGUACCAAGUUAUUGGUGGUAUUGAAUUUUUAGCCCUUGAAUUGAGAAAUAUGCGGUUAGGAUGAUGUAUGCCCCCUAGGGUUGAGUGAGUGGUUGGUUUCAUUAAGGGAUUAAUCUAACGGUAGAAAACUUAAUAGCACCAAGUGUUUGGUGCUAUCGAUAGCAUAGCAGCCGGACUCUCUCUCUCUCUCUCUCUCUCUCUCUCUCUCUCUCUCUCUCUGUAUAUAUAUAUAUAUAUAUAUAUAUAUAUGGUAGGGCUACUAUACUCUUAUGAGUAUAGAGCCCUUCGUACUCAUAAGUUGUUUUCAAUAUUGGGGUUUUCGAAUCGACGAUCCACACCGUUAAACAUGAUUUAGAGUAUUUAAAACUUCUAGAAAAUAAAUUUCAUAAUUUUUCGAAAUCAUUAUAAAGUCCAUCAAGCGGGUAUAAAAUGAACGGUUAAAAUCGAACAACAUCCUAAAAAUGGAUGAUCGGAUCCUUCAAUUUAAGAUCGGAGUUAUUGAUCUUUAUUUAGGUAGUGAAUAG